CGAGCCGCCGCCCUGCUCCUCCAAGAGACCUCCUCCUCCAAAUCCACAACCGUCGCCGCCCUGCUCGUCCAACGCCGCCGCCCCUCCAAGCCGGCGCAGGCCGCCAGCUUCUCUAACGCCGCCGCAAAUCCUACAAAGAUAUCCGAGGUUGCACUACUUCAUCGCCCGGCGCUGCACAAAUUCUAGCGCCACCGCAGCCGGCCGGACGACGACAGCAGCUCAAUCGUCUGGUGCCGUCAGCAGCGAUUCCAUCGCCCGGUGCGCCGGGACUGAAGCAGACAGCAUCUGCAUCCCCCGACGCUGGCCCCAACUCCAUCCUUAAUGCAGGGAUCAGGCACGAACUCCAUCUAGGUUAUCUGAUCUCUGUCUGUGCCUUAGUUUUUGAGUUAAGUGAUUUGAUUGGUGGUUCCAAGAUAGGCACAUGGGAGACCCUUGUAUUUCUUCUACCUGCAGCGAUAGAUCUACUCCACGUUUCCCACUGGCAUUGUGAUGGAGCUGGUAGGAAAAAUUAAAGAAGCUCUUGAUAGUGUAGGUAGUUAAUCUUCUCAAUCAGUACACACCUACCGUUUACAUGUUGACAGCUUGUAUGAAACCAAUAAUUUAACCAAAUCACCAUGUUAUAAAAGUGACUGCAUGUUUAGUAUUUCCUUCUUUGUGAUGACUGUGUAUACUUUUAGUUGAAUUUGUAUAAUUAGUUCUAACAUUAGCAUGAGUUCUUAAAAAAUAUGACAAAUGAUACGUCACUUCUACUGUUGAUAACACACAUUUGAAAAGAAUAAGAAAUUAACCAAAUCCAUAUAGAAUUAUUAAUUAUAAUUAUACUGGGUAAUGUUAUACAGUAAGAUAUAUGAGGUCCUAUACAUAAUAACUGUUUAUGUAAUAGCCAAACUGAAUCGAAGAAAAGUCAUCUCUGUUUGAAAUGAUCGACAUGUUUAUAAUUUCCAGCAGAGUAAGAAUCAGCCAGCGUGCUAAUACUCUUAAUAGUGAUUGUUGACUUCUACUGAACAGAUUCGCCUCAGACAAGGAAAGGUUGAGCACCGGCAGCAGCUGCUUCAUAGCAGCAAUAUGCUCCGCCACUUUAAUAUUUUGCAAGCGCCUCAACACAGAGGUCGCCUUGGAAUCUGGGGUUUUCUAUGGUGAUGAUGACUUGCCGGAGGUUCAUGAUUGAUGCACAAAUGCGGCUGCAACCCAAUUGAUCAAGCAUGCAUGAUCACUGGACGAUGUAUGGGGCAUUAUUAUUUGCAUUGUGCAACAAUUCUAGACACCUGUAGAACACUGCAUUUCAGCAUACUCAAAAUGGAAGUAUUAACUGUUUCAGCAAUGGGGAAUCCACUAAAAAGGUUUCUUAGGUAGUGGUGGGGACGGCGGCAGCGCGACACCACCUGGUAGCCACGGCAGCGGCGACAGCAGGCGGUGGCGUGACAGCAACAGGCGGCUGCAACGGCGGCCACGGCCAUGACAGCUGGCGGCGGGGCGACAUCAGCAGGUAGCCACGGCGGCGACUACAGCGGAUGACUUGGGAGGGCAAGGAGAGCGGACAGGUUGCGACGGCAAGACUGGACCAAAACUGCCAAGGAAGGCAAGGCUGGGACCGAUGAUGCUCAAGUUGGAGGUGAUAUAGUCUGUAGAAGAUGCCGAAGAGCUAGGAUGUUGGUGUCUUUUGGUUCGCACAGUAGAAGAUGUGGAAGUGACUGCUGUUUGGUUUCUUUUGGUUCGCCUAUAGUUGGCGUAGAGUUAUUUCCGCCUAGUUUUAAAUUUUGUGUAAAUGAUCUAAUGAUUCCUGUAAUACACUUUUUAAUGUGCUUUUCUUGCAUUUAA